UACGAGGGGGGCGAGCGUUGUUCGGAAUCACUGGGCGUAAAGCGCACGUAGGCGGCUUGUUAAGUCAGGGGUGAAAUCCUGGAGCUCAACUCCAGAACUGCCUUUGAUACUGGCGAGCUUGAGUUCGGGAGAGGUGAGUGGAACUGCGAGUGUAGAGGUGAAAUUCGUAGAUAUUCGCAAGAACACCAGUGGCGAAGGCGGCUCACUGGCCCGGUACUGACGCUGAGGCACGAAAGCGUGGGGAGCAAACAGG
rnacentral:rRNA from 1 species